UAAGGACCUAGGACUUGCUGACGGUGUCUU
rnacentral:piRNA from 1 species